ensembl:lncRNA
GGUUAAAGGAAUGCAGUGUGGUGGUGGUGGCCUGUGGGGGGUUGGCUGAAGCCCACUGCCUUCCCAGCUCCUGUGGGGAAGUGUUUUGAGGGGCUGAGGACUGAGGAAGUGGUCAGCUGCUGUUGCUGCUGCUUGGGUUGGGCAGGAGCUGAAGGGUCCAGCUCGCACUCCCUGGGACUGCUUCUGGGUCGGCAGCAGCCCUCGGUGACCACGCCUUCCCCCAACACCUCCAGCACCGAAGACUGAGCCUCUCACACGGCCGAGUGUGUGGAACUUCUCAUCUGUGACGCAUCUCUUCACUCAUCUGACUGCUCUUGUCUGAUUAUAAGCCUCUGAAUAGCAGGGAUUAUGUGUUGCUGGCUCUUUGUAGCACACAUAUGCUCAAAAAAAUUGUUGUUGGUGACAAUAAGAUUGCUGGCGAGUGUCAUCUCUUCACCCUUUGCCAUGGGGGCAGACAGCCGUGGCCGGCUGCCUGUUUGAGACUUGCCUUUUAGGCUUUAGUGGGCGUGGCAUGAUUUUAGAGGUCCGGCCAAGAUGAGAUCUUUAAUUUGUUUUGCUUCAGCUAAGUGAGCUCACUCACAUUCCCUAAGCAGGUACAUACUGGGCCGCCUGAGUGGGGGUGGCCUGGAGCACGUGAGCCGAGAGGGAGAAAUCCCUCCACCUCUUAAGAUGUUCUUUGCAUCAUACACAGAGGACCAAGAGACCAGGCCCAGGGAGGGCUUCCAGCAGUGACUGGGGUUGGCUGCUGAAGAUUCCUGUGAUCUCCAGGAUAAUUAUGCUAAUGUCGCUGUUCUGUGUGGGAAAGACCACUUGGCUUUCAGAAAUGUCCACUGUCAGCUGUGUACUUACACCAGGAGGGGGUAAAGAACUUCAAACUGGGAGCAAGUAUGAGAUUCACACAGAAGGGCAUCUGGAAAACUUCCUGCCAUACCCUUCAGAGAUACAUUCUCAGCCUGGAGGGGAUGUGCUUCCUCUUGGCUCUGAAGACCUGCUGGAGUCUAGUCUAGACUAUCUCUACCAAUGAGCAGGUGUGCAGCUCAGACUGCUGUGCUCAACCUCCCAGACCCCAGGCUUUACUUCUAAUAAAGUAGAAAUCGUGCCUGCCUGGCCUACCUCACAGGGUUAUGAGAACUGUAGAUGUUAGAAUUUCAGGGAUAAAAAAUGAUCAACCCUGUUCUCACUAUCCAUGAGGCCCAGAGAGGAUUAAAAAACUCAUCCAAGGUUGCGCAUCUAGUGGCAGAGCUAGACCUCAGGUCUCGUGGCUCCUCUCUUUGUUGAUCUUCUUAUUGUUGCACGUAUCAUGCUUUAUUUGUUCACUUGUUCACCAUCCACACGGAAGUGUAAGCCCCUAGAGGGUGGGGAUCCACUCUCAUGCUCCUUUGUUUCUCUGGAGCCUGGUGCAUACUAAAGGAGCUUAAUAAAUGUGUGUUGAACUGAUCUUGGCUCCUAGUUCACAUGCUCCUUCCCUCUAUACCAUGCCGUCUCUGAUCUCAGAAAUCUGCACUGCCAGUCCAGCUGCCCUCAGAAAGUAUGAAAACUUGCAGAUGUUUUAGAGAAAAAGAAAAGAUGCUCAACUACCUUGCAAUGUCGAUUAGCAUCUUUUAGAGCACAGAAUCCAUCUGAACAAAGACAUACACAUCUAAGACAAAAUUGGAAUAAUAACAAUGAAUGCUAAUUAAGAGCUUAUAAUAAGGCCAGGCAUUGUGCGAAGCACUUCACACACAUAGUAAGUGCUUAAUAAAAAGUUAUUAUCUUUUUUCACUAUGAUGUAAACUGAGCAGGGGGUUGGAAUAUGCUAGCUUCUGUAAUACCUGCAUUUCAGAGGCUUAUCUGAGUAAAGAUCUCUUUGUGGCUCACACCGCAGACUAACACAGGUCAACCACAUGGAAAAGCGUUGCUGCAUCCAGGGCUUUUGAACAUAGAGGCUCAUACAGGAUGUGUUUUAGGGGAUGUGGUAGAUGAGGCUACCAGGUACCAAUUUUUCCUUUCCUUUCCUUGUGGGUAUGUAGAAGGACUGCACUUCCGGGUCUGUUUGAAGGUGGGUGUCAGGUGACACCAGAGCUUUAACCAUGGAAAGGUGACAUGUCGUUUCCUGGUGGAAACAUUUAAGAACCAGUGCACACUCCUCCAUAUUCUAUACUGCCCCCUCCUCCACUGCCAGUCAUAAUUUUUCUAUUUGGAGGCUUCCUAAGACUGAAGCCUUCUGAAAUGCUAAGUCAGUAUGUGGAGGAUGGGUUCCCUGGAGGGUGUCUGAAUCUGCAGCAGAUGUGUAAGGGAGAAAGCCUCUGAGAUUUUGGAUUUGUUGUGAUCAUAGC